GACAUCCUUAAAUUAACCGAGAUGAGGGAUCCUUCAUGUUUUUUAGGGUCUGCAACACACAGAGCUGUAUUCACGUGGGGGCACUUUUAUCACCAGUUCCAGUGAUGAAUCUGGCAAGUGAACAGCCGCUACUGGAUGCAGCGCAUCGACGGUGACAACACCAUUUACAUCACCCACAGACGGAUUGAGCUGGAACGAACAAAUCCGAGAAAAGAAGUUCUAUCAGAUGGGAUCUCAUGCACUUGGCGGUGGUGGUCACGAGGGGUGGCUCAUUUCCUUUAGAAAUCUGGGAGCUGCACCACCAAGUUUUGCUCUGUGUGUUUUUUCUUUCUUUCUUUCUGAGCAGGUGAUAUCCCUUCAUGGCUGGAUGGGGCUGCUCAACCAUUCUUCUGCUCUUUUUCUCCCUACUUCCAAGUCGCCGAUCUCCCAUUCACAGCUCCCUCGUGUUAUUUAAUUUUUCUUUUUGGUUUUUUCCCUUUUUUUGAUUUUUCUGUUCUUGGUUUGUCUGUGGGAAGGUACGAGGUCAGCCCCCUUCAAUAUAAUUAAUCUAAAUUUCUAUUAUCCUCUGUAGAGCACCUGAUUUGUGUUCAAUUUUUGGAUUCAAUUGUGCUUUUGGCCUUUUGAGUCUUGGUCGAUGUUCACAAACUGGUUUUACAUUUAUUUGAGUAUGUUCGAUCUCACUUUGGUAUCAACUAAAGUGAGUAAUCUUUGUGUAUGAAUCAUGAAUAUACUUCUUCUUUUUUGUACA